rnacentral:rRNA from 1 species
GCAUGGAGCCGACCUUGAAAUACCACCCUUUAAUGUUUGAUGUUCUAACGUGGACCCGUUACCCGGGUUGCGGACAGUGUCUGGUGGGUAGUUUGACUGGGGCGGUCUCCUCCUAAAGAGUAACGGAGGAGCACGAAGGUUGGCUAAUCCUGGUCGGACAUCAGGAGGUUAGUGCAAUGGCAUAAGCCAGCUUGACUGCGAGCGUGACGGCGCGAGCAGGUGCGAAAGCAGGUCAUAGUGAUCCGGUGGUUCUGAAUGGAAGGGCCAUCGCUCAACGGAUAAAAGGUACUCCGGGGAUAACAGGCUGAUACCGCCCAAGAGUUCAUAUCGACGGCGGUGUUUGGCACCUCGAUGUCGGCUCAUCACAUCCUGGGGCUGAAGUAGGUCCCAAGGGUAUGGCUGUUCGCCAUUUAAAGUGGUACGCGAGCUGGGUUUAGAACGUCGUGAGACAGUUCGGUCCCUAUCUGCCGUGGGCGCUGGAGAACUGAGGGGGGCUGCUCCUAGUACGAGAGGACCGGAGUGGACGCAUCACUGGUGUUCGGGUUGUCAUGCCAAUGGCACUGCCCGGUAGCUAAAUGCGGAAGAGAUAAGUGCUGAAAGCAUCUAAGCACGAAACUUGCCCCGAGAUGAGUUCUCCCUGAGACUUAGAGUCUCCUGAAGGAACGUUGAAGACGACGACGUUGAUAGGCCGGGUGUGUAAGCGCAGCGAUGCGUUGAGCUAACCGGUACUAAUGAACCGUGAGGCUUAACCUU